rnacentral:rRNA from 1 species
AUGAACCUACAUGGGAAUGGACAGUUCUCAGUAGAUUCUAUGUAUAGAGCGUUAAUCCAGUCUGAUGUGCCAGUUGAUAAUAACAAGAAGAUCUGGAAGAUGAAGAUACCACUUAAGAAUAAAAUCUUCGCAUGGUAUCUUCGUCGUGGAGUCAUUCUUACUAAAUAUAACCUUAUUAAGAGGAAUUGACAUGGAAGUCCGCAAUGUGUCUUUUGUCACCAUGAUAAGACAAUAAAACAUUUAUUCUUUCAAUGCAAAUUGGCUCGUUCUAUAUGGUCAGUCAUCCAAAUAGCUUCUGGCUUGUAUCCUCCUUAUUGUGUUGCUAAUGUAUUUGGAAACUGGCUAAAUGGGAUUGAUCACAUGAUUAGAACCCUUCUCAGGGUGGGAGCGCUUGUCGUUAUUUGGUCACUUUGGCUCUGUAGAAAUGAUAAGGUUUUUAACGAUAAAAGUACUUCUCUUAUGCAGGUUAUCUACAGAUGUACCGGGACUCUUCGUUUAUGGUCCUCUCUACACCGUGUGGAGAAUCGAGACCUGUUUAUGGAGGUGUGUGCACGAUUGGAGGCUACAGCGAGGGAUACUUUUACCCAACAUGGGUGGAAGCAUGAUCUUAGGAUUGCCCCCCUCCGCUUUAGGCGUUAUACGAAUACUGCAUGCUUUCCUUGUAUUUCGCUUUUUUUUCAUUUGAAUGAGAGGAUAUUGUUUGGCUGUGUGCAUCUUAGCUAUGCAGAGGCCGGGUGUACUGCUUUAAUCUUUUAA